rnacentral:tRNA from 1 species
GGGGGUGUAGUUCAGUUGGUUAGAACGCUGGCCUGUCACGCCAGAGGUCGCGGGUUCGAGUCCCGUCACUCCCGCCA